GACCCUGUACAAGUAGAAGAAGAGCUUUGUAUCAUUCUUUACUAGUAUGAUGGGAAAGGCUGCAGAAAAACUACCAUGCCCAGAUGUUACAAUUAUCCAGUAGGGGCCCUGUUUAUCCUCCCUUAAAAAACACCCGCUUAUCAAACCAGUCACUGAUGCAGAGAUCCUGGAAGUAGUGAAGAGCAUGUCACUUGAUAAAUCAAAAGGUAUCGAUGGAUUCCCUAUAGAAUUCUUUAUAACACAUUGGGAUAUUGUCAAAAAAGAUGUAGU
rnacentral:lncRNA from 1 species